rnacentral:tRNA from 1 species
UCUGAAAUAGUUCAGUUGGUAGAGCGUCAGACUAUAAAUCGAAAGGUCCUAGUUUCGAUCCCGGGUUCCGGCA